AGCAUGUUCCUUAGAUCCACCUGAUGAGGCUUUUGCCUACCAACUUUACCGGUUGGGUAUCAUCGGUGAAUGAGUCAUUGACGUGCAAGACAACGGCACCUCCUUCUGUUUGCCACAUCUCCCUGAGCACACCUUGCUAGUUCACUCUGGCUGGAAGUCAUUUCUGACUGUUGUGAUAAUGUUAGGGAGAUAGGCAGGUGUUGGGGACAAA
rnacentral:snoRNA from 1 species